CCUACGGGUGGCAGCAGUGGGGAAUAUUGGACAAUGGGGGCAACCCUGAUCCAGCCAUGCCGCGUGUGUGAAGAAGGCCCUCGGGUUGUAAAGCACUUUCAGUGAGGAAGAACGCCUGGUGGUUAAUACCCAUCAGGAAAGACAUCACUCACAGAAGAAGCACCGGCUAACUCCGUGCCAGCAGCCGCGGUAAUACGGAGGGUGCGAGCGUUAAUCGGAAUUACUGGGCGUAAAGCGCGCGUAGGUGGCUUGAUAAGCCGGUUGUGAAAGCCCCGGGCUCAACCUGGGAACGGCAUCCGGAACUGUCAAGCUAGAGUGCAGGAGAGGAAGGUAGAAUUCCCGGUGUAGCGGCGAAAUGCGUAGAGAUCGGGAGGAAUACCAGUGGCGAAGGCGGCCUUCUGGACUGACACUGACACUGAGGUGCGAAAGCGUGGGUAGCAAACAGGAUUAGAUACCCCGGUAGUC
rnacentral:rRNA from 1 species